AAAGCCUUUGGCUUAACCAAAGAAGUGCAUCGGAAACUGUCAGACUUGAGUGCAGAAGAGGACAGUGGAACUCCAUGUGUAGCGGUGGAAUGCGUAGAUAUAUGGAAGAACACCAGUGGCGAAGGCGGCUGUCUGGUCUGCAACUGACGCUGAGGCUCGAAAGCAUGGGUAGCGAACAGGAUUAGAUACCCUGGUAGUCCAUGCCGUAAACGAUGAGUGCUAGGUGUUGGAGAGUUUCCGCCCUUCAGUGCCGCAGCUAACGCAUUAAGCACUCCGCCUGGGGAGUACGACCGCAAGGUUGAAACUCAAAGGAAUUGACGGGGGCCCGCACAAGCGGUGGAGCAUGUGGUUUAAUUCGAAGCUACGCGAAGAACCUUACCAGGUCUUGACAUCUUGCGCCAACCCUAGAGAUAGGGCGUUUCCUUCGGGAACGCAAUGACAGGUGGUGCAUGGUCGUCGUCAGCUCGUGUCGUGAGAUGUUGGGUUAAGUCCCGCAACGAGCGCAACCCUUGUUACUAGUUGCCAGCAUUCAGUUGGGCACUCUAGUGAGACUGCCGGUGACAAACCGGAGGAAGGUGGGGACGACGUCAGAUCAUCAUGCCCCUUAUGACCUGGGCUACACACGUGCUACAAUGGACGGUACAACGAGUCGCGAACUCGCGAGGGCAAGCUAAUCUCUUAAAACCGUUCUCAGUUCGGACUGCAGGCUGCAACUCGCCUGCACGAAGUCGGAAUCGCUAGUAAUCGCGGAUCAGCAUGCCGCGGUGAAUACGUUCCCGGGCCUUGUACACACCGCCCGUCACACCAUGAGAGUUUGCAACACCCAAAGUCGGUGGGGUAACCCUUCGGGGAGCUAGCCG
rnacentral:rRNA from 2 species